rnacentral:rRNA from 1 species
AGUGAACGCUGGCGGUAGGCCUAACACAUGCAAGUCGAACGGCAGCACAGUAAGAGCUUGCUCUUACGGGUGGCGAGUGGCGGACGGGUGAGGAAUACAUCGGAAUCUACUUUUUCGUGGGGGAUAACGUAGGGAAACUUACGCUAAUACCGCAUACGACCUACGGGUGAAAGCAGGGGAUCUUCGGACCUUGCGCGAUUGAAUGAGCCGACGUCGGAUUAGCUAGUUGGCGGGGUAAAGGCCCACCAAGGCGACGAUCCGUAGCUGGUCUGAGAGGAUGAUCAGCCACACUGGAACUGAGACACGGUCCAGACUCCGACGGGAGGCAGCAGUGGGGAAUAUUGGACAAUGGGCGCAAGCCUGAUCCAGCCAUACCGCGUGGGUGAAGAAGGCCUUCGGGUUGUAAAGCCCUUUUGUUGGGAAAGAAAAGCAGCAGGUUAAUACCCCGCUGUUCUGACGGUACCCAAAGAAUAAGCACCGGCUAACUUCGUG